ensembl:snRNA U6 U6 spliceosomal RNA
GCUCACUUCUGCAGCAUAAAUUAAAGUUGGAAUGAUACAGAGAUGAUUAGCAUGGCCCUUGUGCAAGGAUGAUAGACAAAUUCAUGAAGUGGUCCAUAUAUUU